rnacentral:rRNA from 1 species
CGAAAGGCAAGAGAGNCAAAGGCCUCCUUCAAACCAAGCGCCUUCUAUCUCAACAGAUGAUACAGUCUCAAUCUGACAAAUAAUAAACAUUCUACCCCUAGACCAGGGUUC